CGAUCACCGAAGUCAAGCAUCAUUGGGCGCGGUCAGUACUUGGGUGGGUGACCACCUGGGAACACCGCGUGCCGUU
rnacentral:rRNA from 1 species